UACCAGCACCCCGAGUGGUCGGGACGAUUAUUGGGCCUAAAGCAUCCGUAGCCGGUUCUACAAGUCUUCCGUUAAAUCCACCUGCUUAACAGAUGGGCUGCGGAGGAUACUAUGGGGCUAGGAGGCGGGAGAGGCAAGCGGUACUUAGUGGGUAGGGGUAAAAUCCGUUGAUCCAUUGAAGACCACCAGUGGCGAAGGCGGCUUGCCAGAACGCACUCGACGGUGAGGGAUGAAAGCUGGGGGAGCAAACCGG
rnacentral:rRNA from 1 species